AGUGAACGCUGGCGGUAGGCCUAACACAUGCAAGUCGAACGGCAGCACAGUAAGAGCUUGCUCUUACGGGUGGCGAGUGGCGGACGGGUGAGGAAUACAUCGGAAUCUACUUUUUCGUGGGGGAUAACGUAGGGAAACUUACGCUAAUACCGCAUACGACCUACGGGUGAAAGAAGGGGAUCUUCGGACCUUGCGCGAUUGAAUGAGCCGAUGUCGGAUUAGCUAGUUGGCGGGGUAAAGGCCCACCAAGGCGACGAUCCGUAGCUGGUCUGAGAGGAUGAUCAGCCACACUGGAACUAAGACACGGUCCAGACUCCUACGGGAGGCAGCAGUGGGGAAUAUUGGACAAUGGGCGCAAGCCUGAUCCAGCCAUACCGCGUGGGUGAAGAAGGCCUUCGGGUUGUAAAGCCCUUUUGUUGGGAAAGAAAAGCAGCAGGUUAAUACCCCGCUGUUCUGACGGUACCCAAAGAAUAAGCACCGGCUAACUUCGUG
rnacentral:rRNA from 1 species